AGUGAACGCUGGCGGUAGGCCUAACACAUGCAAGUCGAACGGCAGCACAGUAAGAGCUUGCUCUUACGGGUGGCGAGUGGCGGACGGGUGAGGAAUACAUCGGAAUCUACUUUUUCGUGGGGGCUAACGUAGGGACACUUACGCUAAUACCGCAUACGACCUACGGGUGAAAGCAGGGGAUCUUCGGACCUUGCGCGAUUGAAUGAGCCGAUGUCGGAUUAGCUAGUUGGCGGGGUAAAGGCCCACCAAGGCGACGAUCCGUAGCUGGUCUGAGAGGAUGAUCAGCCACACUGGAACUGAGACACGGUCCAGACUCCUACGGGAGGCAGCAGUGGGGAAUAUUGGACAAUGGGCGCAAGCCUGAUCCAGCCAUACCGCGUGUGUGAAGAAGGCCUUCGGGUUGUAAAGCCCUUUUGUUGGGAAAGAAAAGCAGCAGGUUAAUACCCCGCUGUUCUGACGGUACCCAAAGAAUAAGCACCGGCUAACUUCGUG
rnacentral:rRNA from 1 species